GACCGCUUGUGAAAAUCGAUUUCCACUAGUGGUUGAGUUAAGAAAACCGCCAGUGGAAAUCGAUUUUCACUUGCGGUC
rnacentral:pre_miRNA from 7 species